AAAGGCGUGAGCAGCACGCCCCUCCCGGGCCUGGCCCAGCAGCACCUAAUGUCAACACCGCUCCCCAGGAACCGAAGGAAAAGAGGUCUUCUCCUGCCUCCCACCGACACAAGCACCAAAGGAUGGACUCCACAGAGCUUGCGCAGAGGGGGUCUCUGUGCAAGUACUUUCCGCACCAGGAGGAUGCGUCUGGGUCUGCACUGGCUAAAGAUAAAGUUCAAAUCCACUAUGAAAAAUAAAUCACAUCAGCCACCUUUACCAGAGCACUUGACCUUGGAGCCAGCCACCACCACACUGCAGGGGCUCAUCCCCAGCACAGUGGACCACACCCUUCCCUGCGCUUUGCUUUCAUCACACUACCUCCAUGAGCAGAAGCUGAAGGCGGGCGAGGUCCUUGGGCAAUGGCCUUCCCUUCCAGUCCCUCCUCCCCACCAGGGAGCCAGAACUGAAUGAAUUAAACUGGAGUGCUGAGGUCGUGGAAAGAAAUCGCCCGAAUCAGGAGCACAUUCCUUGACAAUAUAAAAAGAACCAGAAGCUUGAAUUUAAUUCUGAGUUCACCAAAGCCUGAGGAGCCAAUUGCUAUAAACAGAAUUCAUGGGGCAAGUUAGCAAUCCUUUGUGCUGCCCUCUUCUCUGUGAAGUCUGCCCGCUCCACCUCUCCUUGGGACACCAGACGUGAGCUAUUAGAAUGCUCUCGCCAAGCUAAAAUCAAGUUAGUUAAUCAAGUCAAAGAACAGUAAGCAAGGAAGCCAGAGGGAGGAGAAAAGACUCUGCUCUCCUCUGAUUUUUGAAUCAAUUCCAAGAACUUUCCUUCUCCCACUGCCAGCAGCACCCAUCAAUUCCCAUAGUAACCAGCCCACGGAUUUCCAGCUGGUCCAGAAGGGAGGCAUGCAUGCUGCAGAAAGAAGCAUGACCCAAGCCCCAGGCACCGAUCCAAUAGCUGCUUAGUUUUUUAAACAUUCCCAUUCCACCUCCCUGCUUCCCUUAAUUCCCAGGUUACCAGAUGAUUCUCUCCUCUCUCCAUUCCUCAGCAACCUAAUGCUAAGACAAUGAGGGAGCCUUUUUUCUAGGACUCUGCACAGAACAAUUUUCUGUUCUGUUGCAACCUUGGUUCAAGUCUGUAUGACAUGAAAGCAAUCAUGUUCCCCCCACCAUAGUGCGCGCGCA